GUAGCUCCUAUUGGCUCGUUUAAAAAGAGGGAGGAGCAGAUUGCACCGCCUAACAUCUAGUCUUCGCGGUCUUUCUUCAGUUGCGGCCUUUUCUCUCCCUGGUGUUUGAGAACGUGGAGGACAAAAGGAUACCAAAGAAUCGAAAACUAUGACAAAGAUUCUUCAAGAUCACAAGCACCAUCUUUGACAUGUUGCCAUGGUAGCAGAUACAGGGGGAACGAGUGUAGACAAUUCCACAAGAAGGAUGAUGAAAUUCCUCAUAUCACCUGAGCUGGCUGUGGAGUACAACAUGCUUGGCCGACAUGGGAAAAAAAAGUUCAGAGAUUGGCGUCUUUUUAGUGUUGUGUAUGAGGCACUGAAGAAGAACUAUUUAACAUCAAAAGUCAACUUGCAAGAAGCAGAGAAGGCUCUGUCCAAGUGGUUCACUGGAGCUAAAGACAGAGGAGGACCGAGGGCUGCAAGGGUACAAAAAAGACUUACGGCUCUGUAAAAAAACAAAAAAAGAAACCCUGCUGAUUCAAGAUAAGCUUUUGAGUUUUCCAUCUGACUUUUUCCCACUGUUGCAACAGUUCCGAAUAUCUAAGGAAUUUUGAUGUAGUUUGACAUUUCUAGUUGUUUACACACUUUGGAAUACAGUUACGUAAAAUCACAGUUGUUGGACAAAAUAAAUGUGAAAAAUGUUGUUUUGUGUACCCUCGUGAUUUUUGAAAUGGUUUUAUUUACAAACUAGUUUUUGUUUGCGGUCAGCUUUAAUAUAUUUGGUGUCUUUGUGUCACAGAACCCGUAUUAGCCGUCUGAAAAAUUGAUUUUGUGACUGUUUUACUACAUGGGGCCCACUCAGUGCCAGAAAUUAGCCAAUUCAAACUAGAAGUAAGAUGCAACUACAGAACCCACUGAUAAUGCCAUUCCAACAUUUUAGCUCACGUUUUCCUCGUGUUGUACCCACUAAGAACUUGAAAAAUGGGGCCUAGGUGGGUUUCAGUGUACUUUGCCCAGUUGGGGUCCAUUUAGUUCCCAAAUUUUACCAAUAUAACACCAAAAUGGGCUUAUAAAAUGGGGCCAUUAUGGAACCCGCGGACAAUCCCACUUAAAACCCACUUUUUAGCCUAUGUUGUACUCACAUGGUACCCACAAAAAAACUUGAAAGGUGGGGCCUGGGUGGGUUUCUGUGUACUUUGCCUAGUUGGGGCCCAUUUAGUUCCCAGAUUUUACCAAUAUAACACCGAGAUGGGCUUAUAAAAUGGGGCCAUUAUGGAACCCGCGGACAAUCCCACCCAAAACCCACUUUUUAGCCUAUGUGGUACUCACAUGGUACCCACAAAAAAACUUGAAAGGUGGGGCACGGGUGGGUUUCUGUGUACUUUGCCUAGUUGGGGCCCAUUUAGCUCCCAGAUUUUACAAAAUGGGGCCAUUAUGGAACCCGCGGACAAUCCCACUUAAAACCCACUUUUUAGCCUAUGUGGUAACCACAUGGU